UUCUUGGCUUCAAUGCUGGUUGUGUUGCUGACCUCCAGUGGUUGCUCCUUCCUUGAUGGCACGAAGGACAUGCACAGAACCUGCAGUGUCAAUGAACUUGCAACCACGAUAAGCGUUAUAUUCUUCAUAACUGACAACGGCAACAUCUGAAGCUGCCUGGAACUGGUGCUGUUCCCAAAGGUUUUGAGGGGCAAUUGAUGUCACCCUAAAUGAGGAAGGUAAAUAUUUGCAUGCCUACUGAGGGUCAAGGGGGAAGAGAGUGCAUCUGAAGAAGAGAGGCCUUCUGGUCACGUGAGGGGCUGCUCCUUUCUUCUUCCUCACUCCCCCAAACUGGAAAAUGACUUUAAUUUCCUGGAGGGUUGGCACACUGAAGAGUUACCCACUGACCUGCCUUUCUACCCUCUAGAAAACUGGAUUUAAGCCUUGGGUUGACGCCCUUGCCUGGAUUCUGCAGUGCUGGGGGAAGAGGCACGCGCUCCCUCGGCUGCUCACCGCCAUCCACAGGUUUCCCAGCGGAGCAAUCUAUGCUGUAAAUGCUCCGGAGUGGUGAGAAGCCCUUGGAAGCUGUUAGGAUGGAAUCUGCCCAUGGAGAAAUCGAGGUGGAACUGUAAGAUAAUAAGGACAG